rnacentral:lncRNA from 1 species
CUAGUAUGUAAAUACCGGACACAGGGGAUCCCUGUAACCAUUAUGCACCCCUGUGCUCUCUGCCAGUUUGCAUCAAGAAGUCCUUGGAUCAGAUGUUCUAGUCAUGUUCUGCCACAGACUUGCUGUGUAACUUUGCACAAGUCAUCGCUUUGGUUUCCCUGGAAAAUGAAGACGACACCAACUGGAGCAGGGUGUUGGAGGCAUAAUUCAUUAAUGGCUGUUAACAUUAGUGCUAUGAGAUCAGGCCGCUAUUAUAGUGAAGAGUACUAUUAUUUUAUUUGAAUCAGCAUUUAUAAUAUCAACCCUCUGACUUGUAUCUUCAGCUGGCGAACAUCAGUUUAAUACCUUCAUUGACUUCACAAGAGCUAUGGUGAUUUGCACCAGCUGAGGAACUGGUCCUAAUCAACACCUCAGAAUUGUUAAUCUAUUCUUUGGGAGAUAAUCAGAAAAAGUCUCCUGAGAUCUACACAGCUCAUGUAGAGGGACGUGGAGCUACAGCUAUGAAAAUUAAAUGGCCAAAGAAAUCAAAACAACCAGAUACGAUUCCUCCAACCAUAACAAAUUGCCCAUGGGACAUUACCAUAACCACCGAGACUGAUCCAGUACAGGUCAGCUGGGAACAACCUGAAAUUAGCGACAACAGUGGGGUGUUUACCUCAGUAGCUUCAAUAUCCAGUGGCUCCUGUUUCCGGUAUGGAACUCAUCAAGUGCAAUACACCGCCCAUGAUGAAGCAGGAAAUGAAGCCUCCUGCCAGUUUAAAGUUACCAUCCAAAAGCCAGAUCUUUCGUGCAACGCCCAACCUCCCACUGAUGGGUCUUUGGCUUGUGGAAUGUUAUCUUAUCCUGGCAGUGGAAUGAACAAAUGGCAGUUUUGUGUACCAUUCUGCAUGAAGAGCACUGGUUUCCAUCGGAGAGCAUGGUCAGUGUUUUUCUGCCAGUCUUCUCAGUCUGGGACAAGUUGGUUUCAUUUGGAUGAAGCCUGGCAAAUGACAAAAGCUCACAUGCCAGAGACUUGCACAGUCAGGCGUCGAACAGGGUCCAGAAAAGGAGAUUCACUACAGUACUAUGAGGGUGACUGCAAUGAACAGGCCGUGAAAAAACACAUCCUAGCAACUGUGGAACACAUUGUAGCCAAAGAUCCCUCUGUUGUUUCUCAGUGCACCAGGCACCGAAACACCUGUGGCAAUUUCAGAAUUUCAGAUCUUUCUGUUCACUGUGGGCCUGGAAACAACCAAAGAGAUACUGGACCACCUGUAGUGAUCUCCUGUCCUCAGAACAUUGAGAUAGAAACCAAAAAAGGAAACCUCUACUGGAAUGACUUGCCUGAAUUCUCUUGGAAGGAGCCUGUGUUUGAAGACAACUCCAGGGGUCCACUGACAAUCACAAAAGGAGGGUCCAAUGUUAAUAAUGGAGACAAACUGGCAUAUGGCCAAUAUUCAGUGGAAUAUAUAGCAACAGAUCUUUCAGGAAACCAAGCCAAAUGUUCCUUUGAGAUCUCUGUGAAAUCAAUUGCAUGCACAAUGGAAUUGCCGGAGCAUGGAGCUAUAGUCUGUGGCUAUCCUUCGGUGGACGGCAUGGACCUCAUGACCAUUGACUGUAUUGUACUGUGUCAAAGCAAAUACCAGUUUAGCAGGGAUCCAUAUCCAAUAUAUGCAUGCUCAGAGGAGGGACUUUGGUGGACCUUCACAAGCACAUUCACGCCUAUUGGCCCAAAUUUGCCAAGUUUAAACCAUAAGUGCCAAGGUAAGAAAGUUUAAAUGAAUGAAAAACUUUGUACCUAAUUAAAAAUUCUUAUUUGCAUGUUAUAUUUUCACCACUUUGAUGAGCCUGAUGGCAUGUAAAUUAUAUUUCAAGGAUUCAUUAAAAGUAAUUUUCCUUUUUUCUAUAAACAACACUUGUCAGAUUUCUCAAAUCAGCACUGAAUUAAACUGAGGUGGGUUGAGUUCAGCUGCUUGAUUUACUUUAUUACAGAUUUAAAAUCUGCUGAGGGAGUAUAGAUAUUUCACAUUAAUUAUGUUGAUGAAGAUCUGUGUUCUGAUUACCAACCCUGAGUCUUUAUACAGAAAAUGGAGACAUAUCAAUGAGAUACCAUACCACUCUCUAACCGGUGAGGGAUUACAGGAAUAAAGCACCAUUGCUUUAUUAACUGAUGACUUUU